rnacentral:rRNA from 1 species
AUACGGAGGGUGCAAGCGUUACUCGGAAUCACUGGGCGUAAAGCGCGCGCAGGCGGCCUGAUAAGUUGGGUGUGAAAGCCUACGGCUCAACCGUAGAACUGCAUCCAAAACUGUCAGGCUAGAGUGUGGGAGAGGAAGAUGGAAUUAGUUGUGUAGGGGUAAAAUCCGUAGAGAUAACUAGGAAUACCAAAAGCGAAGGCAAUCUUCUGGAACACUACUGACGCUGAGGCGCGAAGGCGUGGGGAGCAAACAGGAUUAGAAACCCCGGUAGUCC